GUCAAAGCUCAUAAUUCAUAAUGAAUCUUUAAAUCCUUUAGAAAUCAUUUCAGCUUUAAUCAUGGACCAUAAAGCUUCAUGUUGACCUCCUUCAUCCAUCCCAUGUCUUGCAAACAGCGUUAUGUUGGAAGAACCCAGCGACCAGCGAGGUUUCAUCCAACCGUAAACUGGUGCCAACUAGUAAGAAUCCAAAUCACAUAAAUUAAUAAAAGAAGAACUGGGCAGCUACUGUAGAGCAUGGUGGUGGCAGCAUCAUGGUCUGUUUGGCCGUGAAAGUGGCUCUGAUCCUUUUCACGAAAUGGGCAAAAAAAAAAAAGCUGGAAGGCUAUUUCUAAAUGUUUCACAUGACCUCAGAUCGGCGAAUGGUCCAACAUCCUGACAGAACCAGAAGUUUCGGAGGCCAACGGUGUGGUUUGUCAGAAAUACUAAAGGACGACUGUUUGAUUUUUACAUCGUUUGGAAACGGAGGGAAAAAAAAGUCCCCUAAUAGAUUCUGAUUUGUAACUUUUUAUCAUCGUUUCAUUGUUAAAAGAAAAGGGAUAAAUCAUAAACGGUCCAAAAUGAACAACACUCCUGUCAGCAUAGAGGUUCUCAGAGGGAGAAAACCAAAGUCUCAGAAACAAGCCUCACCAACGACUCGCAGACAUUUUUAUUUCAUGUUUUUAUCCGUUUUAGCCUAGAAGUAGAAUCCUUCCUUCUGUUUUGAUCCUUCUGACCCUCCUGCCAUCGAUCCUGGCCUGUUUUAGCUCCUCCUACUCAUCCUCGGCUUCACAAUGGCCGCUGAUACUUGAAUGCCAACCUUCCUCCUCCAUUUCAUUCACUGCCAAAAACAUUUCAGCAGCAACAGAGAGGAAAGUUCUGCUGGGUUCUGGAAACCGAAGUAUCGCUGGAGUUCAGAUUUUUAAGGCUUCCUGACGAAUUUCUGACAUGAGGUUCAGUAAACGGACCUUAAAGAGUUAAUAUCAGAUUCCAGUAAUGACUCCAUCAUUAAAUGUAAAUCCAGAUUAGAUCUGAACCUGGUAGCUUGUCCAAAUGGAUCGGGACCAAAUCUGACUUUUAUCGUCUCUAAAGGACUUCAGGAUAUAAAUGAAUGAAUUCACCAUUUUAUGACCCUUCAAACCAUCACCAUGUUUUCAUUAGAGCUUAUCUACGUAGAACUUCAUGUUUUAAUGAGAAUUGGAAGCUUUUUUGUGCAUAAAAAGCACAAAAUAUUUCAUUUUUAUGUUUUUUGCCAUUUGCUCCACGUCCCUUUUCUGAUUGGAGAUACUUUACAGCGAUGAUGCAACAUAAUCUACCCUACGUCCAAGUCUAAUUCCAGUGCAAACAUGGCUUUACCUGAUGUCCAUGUAUGGAGUGAAUUUGGUUCCAUUAUUUUUGCAAACAACAUGUUUAUAGAUGUAAAUAGAAAUUUGUAUAAAACACAAUCCGGAAAUUAAACUUUGAAAACCAUCUAAACUAAAAAAAAGGUUCUGAGAAGAAAUUAGCUGCUUUCUCAGAUUUUUAUUUUGUCAAAUCAUUUUUUUUUUUCAGAUUUGUUUUUCUUUCCACUUUUUCAACUUUAUCUUGCAGAUUUAUAUCAAUCUUUUUUUUCCUUCAAAUUCCUGUUUAUAAGAUGACAUUUUACCGACUGCAUCCUUUCAAGCUGUCUUUAACAGAUCAACAGAAAUACUCGUUCCUGACCAAUACAAAUGUUGCUAAGGUUUUUACAGACCAAUAGGAACGAGUCUUUGCUCCUCACUCUAAAGGAAAGAGGUGAAGAGCAUUUGAUCUGUAAAACUGGAUCUAAAAAAAAAACAUUCAUUUU